GAAGGGGGCUAGCGUUGUUCGGAAUUACUGGGCGUAAAGGGCGCGUAGGCGGUCUUGUAAGUCAGAUGUGAAAGCCCCGGGCUCAACCCGGGAAUAGCAUUUGAUACUGUGAGGCUUGAGGCCGGGAGAGGAUGGCGGAAUUCCCAGUGUAGAGGUGAAAUUCGUAGAUAUUGGGAAGAACACCGGUGGCGAAGGCGGCCAUCUGGACCGGUACUGACGCUGAGGCGCGAAAACGUGGGGAGCAAACAGGAUUAGAUACCCUGGUAGUCCACGCCGUAAACGAUGAGUGCUAGACGCUGGGGGGUUAACCCUUCGGUGUCGCAGCUAACGCAUUAAGCACUCCGCCUGGGGAGUACGGCCGCAAGGUUG
rnacentral:rRNA from 1 species